UACGUAGGGGGCGAGCGUUGUCCGGAGUUACUGGGCGUAAAGCGCACGCAGGCGGUCUGUUAAGUUUGGAGUGACAGUUGGUGGCUCAACCACCACAGUGCUUUGAAAACUGAUAGACUUGAGGGCUUCAGAGGGACACGGAAUUCAGGGUGGAGUGGUGAAAUGCGUAGAGAUCCGGAGGAACACCAAAGGCGAAGGCAGUGUCCUGGGGAGUACCUGACGCUCAGGUGCGAAAGCCAGGGGAGCGAACGGG
rnacentral:rRNA from 1 species